rnacentral:rRNA from 1 species
GACGAACGCUGGCGGCGUGCCUAAUACAUGCAAGUCGAGCGCAGGAAACUGACGGAACUCUUCGGAGGGAAGGCAGUGGAAUGAGCGGCGGACGGGUGAGUAACACGUAAGGAACCUGCCUCAAGGAUUGGGAUAACUCCGAGAAAUCGGAGCUAAUACCGGAUAGUUCAUCGGACCGCAUGGUCCGUUGAUGAAAGGCGCUUCGGCGUCACCUUGAGAUGGCCUUGCGGUGCAUUAGCUAGUUGGUGGGGUAACGGCCCACCAAGGCGACGAUGCAUAGCCGACCUGAGAGGGUGAUCGGCCACACUGGGACUGAGACACGGCCCAGACUCCUGCGGGAGGCAGCAGUAGGGAAUCUUCCACAAUGGACGAAAGUCUGAUGGAGCAACGCCGCGUGAGUGAUGAAGGUUUUCGGAUCGUAAAACUCUGUUGUAAGGGAAGAACACGUACGAGAGGGAAUGCUCGUACCUUGACGGUACCUUACGAGAAAGCCACGGCUAACUACGUGCCAGCAGCCGCCGUAA